GUCCGGGCCCAAGGUUCCCAUAUGCCCAGGGCCGGAUUUAGGUUUGAUGAGGCCCUAAGCUCCUGAAGGUCAUGGGGCCCUUGAUAUGUCCAGCUGUCCUUUGUCAACAACAAAUGGUUGCUGUUUUUUGUGUUGAAUAUAAGCUAUAUGGUCAUUGAUGGACCUCAUAGGAAUUAAAGAACCUUUUAAUGAGGGUGAAAGAGGAGAGCGCAAAAUAUGGUCUGAAGCUCAACAUCAAAAAAACGAAGAUCAUGGCCACUGGUCCCAUCACCUCCUGGCAAAUAGAAGGGGAAGAAAUGGAGGCAUUGAAAGAUUUUACUUUCUUGGGCUCCAUGAUCACGGCAGAUGGUGACAGCAGUCACGAAAUUAAAAGACGCCUGCUUCUUGGGAGAAAAGCAAUGACAAACCUAGACAGCAUCUUAAAAAGCAGAGACAUCACCUUGCCAACAAAGGUCCGUAUAGUGAAAGCUCUGGUUUUCCCAGUAGUGAUAGCUGGACCAUAAAGAAGGCUGAUCGCCGAAGAAUGGAUGCUUUUGAAUUCUGGUGCUGGAGGAGACUCUUGAGAGUCCCAUGGACUGCAAGAAGAUCCAACCUCUCCAUUCUGAAGGAAAUCAGCCCUGAGUGCUCACUGGAAGGACAGAUCCUGAAGCUGAGGCUCCAAGACUUUGGCCACCUUAUGAGAAGAGAAGACUCCCUGGAAAAGACCCUGAUGUUGGGAAAGAUUGAGGGCACAAGGAGAAGGGGACAACAGAGGACGAGAUGGUGGGACAGUGUUCUCGAAGCUACAAACAUAAGUCUGACCAAACUGCAGGAGGCAGUGGA